rnacentral:rRNA from 1 species
GACGAACGCUGGCGGCGUGCUUAACACAUGCAAGUCGAACGGAAAGGCCCUGCUUUUGUGGGGUGCUCGAGUGGCGAACGGGUGAGUAACACGUGAGUAACCUGCCCUUGACUUUGGGAUAACUUCAGGAAACUGGGGCUAAUACCGGAUAGGAGCUCCUGCUGCAUGGUGGGGGUUGGAAAGUUUCGGCGGUUGGGGAUGGACGCGCGGCCUAUCAGCUUGUUGGUGGGGUAGUGGCUUACCAAGGCUUUGACGGGUAGCCGGCCUGGGAGGGUGACCGGCCACAUUGGGACUGAGAUACGGCCCAGACUCCUACGGGAGGCAGCAGUGGGGAAUAUUGCACAAUGGGCGGAAGCCGUAUGCAGCAACGCCGCGUGCGGGAUGACGGCCUUCGGGUUGUAAACCGCUUUCGCCUGUGACGAAGCGUAAGUGACGGUAAUGGGUAAAGAAGCACCGGCUAACUACGUG